GUAGGUAGCUGUCAAUACAGUGCUGAUAAGAGUCUACCACAUUUUACCUCCCAGCACAGAUUGUUGAAAGGAGAUGUACUUCAGUUCUAUGAUAUUAGUCAAUAAUUUGCCAAGAGAGACUUGAGGUCUAAUUUAGGUAAGAAAUUAGUAACCUUGUCUUUCUUAUCCCAUUUACAUUGGGCACUUGGGGACUAUUUUUUCUUUCCCUCUAGAUUCCAUGACUGGAUCCCAUCUUUUUGCUACCCUGGUGAAGGAGGGCUUCUCCUUGGUUUUCUCCGUGAGUUUGCUUUUCAAAUGCUGCUAAUCCUCAGGCUCCACCUCGGCUCCCUUCUGAAUGUUAGUCUUCUUGGGUCUGAUAUCACAAAGGAACAUACCACGAUGGAUCUAUCCUUAGGAAGUGCAGAUCCACUCAGU
rnacentral:lncRNA from 1 species